rnacentral:rRNA from 1 species
CGCGUAGGUGGGAUAGUAAGUCUGCUUUAAAAGUGCGGGGCUCAACCCCGUGAUGGGGUGGAAACUGCUAUUCUUGAGUGCAGGAGAGGAAAGCGGAAUUCCCAGUGUAGCGGUGAAAUGCGUAGAUAUUGGGAGGAACACCAGUGGCGAAGGCGGCUUUCUGGACUGUGUCUGACACUGAGGCGCGAAAGCUAGGGGAGCGAACGGGAUUAGAUACCCCGGUAGUCCUAGCCGUAAACGAUGGGUACUAGGUGUAGGGGGUAUCGACCCCCCCUGUGCCGGAGUUAACGCAAUAAGUACCCCGCCUGGGGAGUACGGCCGCAAGGUUGAA